AAAUACUUUUAUUAAAAACCCUUUCAAAAUCUUUUAUUUUUAUUUAGGUUUAUUUUUUCUUCUUCUUCAAACACAAAUAGGCGCCGCCUCUCUCUGUGCACAAUCGUCCACAAUCACCUAUCUCCGGCCAGAACCGUCGUCUCUCCUCUCUCUUAUCUCUACGCACGACAGACCAGGCAAGACCUUCUCUCUCAGUCUCUUUGUUCUCACUACGCGCGCGGUGGACUCCAUGCCAAACAUUAACGAGAUGCACUUGUUAUCCCCCUACGGCCGAAGGCCAAAAUGAAGACCAGAUCUGUGAUCUCCGCACCUUGAAGCGUCCUGGUAUGGCGGAGCGAUCGACCUAGGUGAGGGUUUGUUGUCAGCGACCAACGACUUCAACAAAGCAUGCAUUUGUUUUUGACAGCCAACGACUUUAGAUCGGUGGAAGAUCUGUAUCGAUGGGGCUCAAAAAUGGUUGGGCUCGAGUUAGUUUCAGGGCACAGUUAGUCAGGGACAGAGAUCGGAGCUAGAAUCUGUGGGAUUCAAUUAUUUUUCUAACUAUUUUAUUUGAUUCAAGUGUUCAUACUCAUAAUUUUGGAUUUUCAUUGUUAAUAUAUUUGUAUUUUCUUUUUAACACUUAUUUAUUCUUUUGCAUAUUUUGAGAAAACUCUUCUUGACGAGCUAGCUUUUGUUGGGUCUCCAACAAGUCAUUGGAUACUCGAACCAAAUUUGGAUCUUGCUCAUGAUGGUAUCGUCUUUAUAGUAGCCAUCUUUGACGUGUCCUUAAUCCUCUUCCUCCUUGUCUUUGACGUCAGGGUCUUUGCCUUCGACUUGCUUGCAACGUCGAGCUGGGUCGUCCCCUCUGUUGUCAACUUCAGAUGUAUCCCCCUUCCAUCACAUGACUCGUCUGAGCGUGCGUGGAAGGUCGUAGGGUUACAUCCUCCAUGACAAUGUUAGGGUUCACUUGAGGAGCUUUCUCUAUCUUUGUCUUGCAUGUAGCCACCAUGAUGUAGAAACGCAGUGGCUCAAAUCUUUCCUGAACUCUCAAUGAAAGUACUAAAAUGUU